rnacentral:sRNA from 1 species
CCGCCGCCAUGUCUGCGCAUCUGCAAUGGAUGGUCGUGCGGAACUGCUCCAGUUUCCUGAUCAAGAGGAAUAAGCAGACCUACAGCACUGAGCCCAAUAACUUGAAGGCCCGCAAUUCCUUCCGCUACAACGGACUGAUUCACCGCAAGACUGUGGGCGUGGAGCCGGCAGCCGACGGCAAAGGUGUCGUGGUGGUCAUUAAGCGGAGAUCCGGUGAGUUUUGUCUGGUUUGGGCCAGAGAGCGGCCCCUUUCCCGGGUCAGGGAGCUGUGAUUUUUUACUCAGGCAGGAAGAGUGGUAACUGCCAUCGCGGCGGGCAUCCCUGGCGCCAGGGUGUUGGUCUGGGAACCCGCUUCCCUCUCGGCCGACUUGCCAGCUCUGUGAGCCGCGCGCGUCUGAGCCCUUGUCCUCACCUGUAAAGUGGAGAAACGGAAAAGGACCUGAAUUUCCUCGGUGGUUGUUGAGAGUUAAGGCACAGGGUUGAUGUUUUCAGAUGAAAUUCUCAAAGCAAGUCAGGGUGGGGAUGGAUGGGUUCAUCCCACAGGUGGGAAAAUUGAGGCACAACAGGGGAGGGGCCCUCGCUACCACACUUACGAGAGGACAGGCGGGGUUGGUCGCAGCCAUUUGAUUCCCAUUUUGCCUGUGUAGAUUAGAGAAGAGGUCUUGAGGACCCCACUCCAUACAUUGUGCUGUCAGGUGCAGGCCUUUUUGGGGAUUCCCUGAGUGUUCAUGUGAGUCGGGGGUCUCUAAUGGAGGAGUCCAGCUUCACAUGUGUUCUUGACAGGGCUGUAUUUUGUUUUUUUAGAGUGAGUUUUUCUCAGGUCCUUGAUUGGAACUGCCUCAGAGCCAAGGGUCCUUUUAUUCAGUGGCAGCAACAAACGCAGUCUGUUGGCUAGUGAUCCUCCUGUCUCAGGGACACGUAGUCCAGGGAGCAGCCAAUUGCUUGGCACCUGGGGACCCCGUUCUGGGGAGUCCCGAAAGCGUUCCCCUCUUGGAUUGCCGAAUACAUGGGUGGCGCUUCCUAAACUAAGGGUCUGGCCUGAGUGAGGCUGGGCCUCUCAGCCAAGCUGAUGUUGAACCACUGCUGUGGGGAUGGGCCUGGGGUUCCUGAGAAGCUGUUCAUACCCAUUGCCAGGAGCGUGGGCUCUGGCUGGACCUGGAUCAGAUCCUAACUGAAGCAGCAGCUUCCUGGCAUGAGAAAGGAGUGUUUUGGUGGUGGACAGAAUUGGGCUAUGAGUGUGACAGAAACUGUGUCCUCAGUACUCUGUGAUGAUGAGUGAGCCUCUGUGAAAUGGACAGGUGAGGAAACAGCUACCUGCUAGCCUGCCCAGGCACCUGCCAUGGGCCCAGGGUGCUCAGCUUCUCAGUGUGAGACUGUCCACACCUGCGAGGUGCGCUAAAGGUGCGGGUUAGGUGGACUGACCCCAGGACCUCCCUGACCCCCAACCAGGCCAGCGGAAGCCUGCCACCUCCUAUGUGCGGACCACCAUCAACAAGAAUGCUCGCGCCACGCUCAGCAGCAUCAGACACAUGAUCCGCAAGAAUAAGUACCGCCCCGACCUACGCAUGGUGAGCUGGGGUUUGGGGAUCAGGCUGAGGGAGACUGGCCAGUGCUGUGGGGAAGGGCCUCCCACUACUGGUUGCAGUAUGGGCUGGAGAGGGAUGGAUUCUUGCUUUCAACCUACUCCCCACCCCCCAGCAUGGGCCUAGGGGGCGGCUUGUGGAGUGUAUGAGCUGAGCCUUCCUCUGCUCCCCCGCCCCCACGCCGCCAUCCGCAGGGCCCGCGCCAUCCUGCGCAGCCAGAAGCCUGUGAUGGUGAAGAGGAAGCGGACCCGCCCCUCCAAGAGCUCCUGAGCCCCCUGCCCCCAAAGCAAUAAAGUCAGCUGGCUUUCUCACCUGCCUCGACUGGGCCUCCCUUUUUGAAACGCUCUGGGGAGCUCUGGCCCUGUGUGUUGUCAUUCAGGCCAUGUCAUCAAAACUCUGCAUGUCACCUUGUCCAUCUGGAGGUGAUGUCAAUGGCUGGCCAUGCAGGAGGGGUGGGGUAGCUGCCUUGGCCCUGGUGAGGGCAAGGGUCACUGUCUUCACAGAAAAAGCUUUCUGACUUGUGAUCGAGACCUACUGUUCCAUUGUGAGGUGGCCUGAAGAAUCCCAGCUGGGGCAGUGGCUUCCAUUCAGAAGAAGAAAGGCCUUUUCUAGCCCAGAAGGGUGCAGGCUGAGGGCAGGGCCCUGGGCCCUGGUGCUGUAGCACGGUUUGGGGACUUGGGGUGUUCCCAAGACCUGGGGGAUGACAGACAUCACGUGAGGAAGAUGAGAUGACUUUUGCAUCCAAGCAGUGGGUGCAGCCACACUUGGAGGGGAUGGGCUUUACUUGAUGCAACCUCGUCUCUCAGAUGGGCAACUUGGUGGGUGGUGGCUUAUACCUGUAAGGGAGGUGGCAGCCCCAGGGUACAGCCAGCAGGAAUUGAACAGCCUUAGCAUCGUCCCCCUACUCCCAGCCCUCCAGGUGUCCCCAUCUCUCCCCUAUCUCUUUGAGCUGGCUCUUGUCACUCAGGUCUCAGCUCAAUGGCUGCUCCUGGGCCACCCUGUCACCCAAGCUUUCCUGAUUGCCCAGCCCUCUUUCCUUUGGCCUGUUUGCUCCCUAGUGUUUAUUACAGCUUGUGAGGCCAGGAGUUUGAGACCAUCCUAAGCAACAUAAUGGGACACCGUCUCUAAAAUAAAAUUAGCUGGGUGUGGUGGUGCGCUGCCUGUGGUCCCAGCUCCUCAGAGGUUGAAUAGAGGCUGAGGUGGGCGGGGCACUUGAGCCAAGAGUAUGAGACUGCAGUGAGCCCAUGAGCCCCACCACUGCACUCCAGCCUGGAAGACACCAUGACACGCAGUGAGGCCUGGAUGGGGAAACAGUCCUGCUGUUGAUCCUCACAUGUUUCGUGGGCACCUAACUCUCUUGUCAGCCACUGCCAGGGGCCAAGGAUCCAGCAUCCAGGGCACCCCUGGUUCCUGCCAUCCUGGGGUACCCGAUUCAAAGAAGGACUCUGCUCCCUGUCUGAGACCACCCAUGGCCCUGACUGAGGUAAAGGGACUGUCAGGGCCUCGACUUGCCAUUGGUUGGGGUCAUAGAGGGCUGGGAGCCCUGCGUUUUGAGGCAGACUACUGCCCUUCUGACCUCAGUGCUGCCUGCUGCAGCCUUGCCCAGCUCGAAGAAGAGCAAAUCUGACCACUUCUUGCCAGCCUCUGCUGUGGAUUACCAUAUCCUCUGUCCUUCCAUUAGUUUGGGCUGUUAACUCAGAUUGAGAGGGGUUGCCUUAAAACUGAGUUGGGUGACUUGGUACCUGCUCAGGACCCUCCACUGUCCCAAUCCCACUUAGGCCCAUCUCUGGCUGGCCUCACUCCGCUGGGACUCCGCCUGCAUAAGGAGAGCUCACUGCUAACUUAGUAGAUGGCCCCUUCUCGUGAGGCCUCUCCCCUGGCACCUGCUUCAGUUGUCCUCCACAGCACUGAUUUGCAGCCAACAAGCUGGCAGGUUUAUCUGUGUCAUGUUUGUUCUGUGCUGGUGGGCAAGGGGUUGGUCUAGCACACCAGCAUAUAAUAAGAUGCUUAAUGAAUGGUGAAUAUUGAAUGUCUAAAGGCUGAGGCCCACCGGUCCUGAGAGUUUGCUCGCUGGAGACUUUUUUUUGGAGAUGGAAUCUUGCUCUGUUGCCCAGGCUGGAGUGCAGUGGUCCGAUCUCAGUUCAGUACAACCUCCACCUCCUAGGUUCAAGCGAUUCUCCUGCCUCAGCCUCCCGAGUAGCUGAGAUUACAGGUAGGUGUCACCACACCCAGCUCAGUAUUAUAUUUUUAGUAGAGACGGGGUUUCACCAUUUUGCCCAGGCUGGUUUCGAACUCCUGACUUCAAAUUACCCACUUGCUUCAGCCUCCCAAAGUGCUGGGAUUACAGGCACCUGAGGCUUUCUGAUGUAGCUGCUCCUGCUCAGAAGGCCUUGUCCUUAACCGCCUCCUUGCCUGCCCUGGAGCCUUGCCCCUCUAGGCCCCACCCCCUGUGGAGUCCUGCUGGCUUCCUCCAUCCCUAUCUGAAUCCUCCCUGCUGUGUGGCCUCCCCUGGUCUCAUCUGUAACACAGCCCAGCUUAGUGGGCCUCUGUUCCUGUGGGUGGCCAGCCUGUCUGUGUGGCUGGGCUGGGGAGGCCAUGUCUGGUAUCUGAAUGCUACUGGUGGGUUGGGGUGGAGGAACCAGGAGAGGGCUGGAGGGAGGGAGAUGCUCUCAGCCCCAGAGAGUUUGGAGUCCCCAGUGUGCUGAGCAAACAUGGAUACACCAUUUCCUUCCUCUAGACCUCAUCUUGGAGAGGGAGAUGUUGGAUGGGGCCAUCUAUUCAAACUUUAUUCACACAAGUCAUGUCUGUUGGCCUGGAAAUUGGAAAACCAGUUAAACCAAAAACAUGAUAUUUAAGAAAAAAGCAGGCAGGCUCCCCAUAGUAAAAAUGCUGAAAGCCAAGGACAAAAUUUGGAGAACAAAAGAAAAGCGUCUUGUCACAUACAGAAGGUCCCUGAUAACGUUAGUAGCUGCCUUCAUCAGAAACAACAGGCCCAGGCAGUGGGGACACAUCCAGAGUGCUGAAAGAACCUCCCCCAGGUCAUCCUGUCCCCAAGAGUGAUGCCCAGCAGCAUUUUCAGCUCAGGGCUAAUGGUUCACAGAAGCCAGGAAUCAAACUGCCUGGGUUCCAGUCCCAGCUCUGCCAGUUAUUCCCAGCUGUGGGGACUUAGCUCAUUUAGUAGCACCAUGCCUCAGUUUCCCAUAUGUAAAAGGCCAUUUUGAGUGCCUUUCACAGCCCUCCAUAAGGCAGGUGUCUCAGUGUUCACUGCUGUCUCUCCAGCUCUCCGUCCAGUAACUGCACAGUGAGUGAGCAUAGGGCACACUCUGGAAGGCUGCCAAGCCCAAGGUUGUGCAGAGCGCUGGGGACUCCAGACUCCCCACAGCAGCAGAGACUCGGGACUGAGGCAUGCUCUGUUCGCAGGACAUGCUGGCAUCUACUGCGUCAGGGCUCCGUUGCUCUGUGGCUUUGCAGCCUUGGGCAAGUUCCUCAACCUCUCUGUGUCUUCGUACCCUCAUCUGUAACAUGCAUGUCAAUAGACCCUACUACUCAGGGUUGAUGAGAAAAUGAAAUGUGCAAAACCUGCUUGACUGUGCCCACAAAUCUUGAUUGUAGGAAUAAAUUAAUGAGUAUUUUUGUAAAUAUUUUGAUCAGAUGGACUCAGAUGAUCACAGAUGUCUUCACAAGCCUAUGACUAAUUUGUACAUAAACCAAUGCUCGUGUUUCCCAAGCACCUGGAAGACAUGCCAGAUCCAUGUGCAGUAAUGCCUGGUGGCUCCGGGUCUGCCCCACUGUCCUGUGGGGCUGUGAGCUUUCCCAGCCUCCUGCCCGUGUUUGUGAAUAUCAUUCUGUCCUCAGCUGCAUUUCCAGCCCAGACUGUUUGGCUCUGCCCAGGAAUGGUAUUGAUUCCCCUGUUUCUCUUGUAGCCAGUUACUGGAAUAAAAUCAUCUGCUUUAAAAUCUUGCAUUAUGAAA